UCCUCCGUGGCGCAAUUGGCUAGCGCGUCGUAAGUUACCCGUCACAUCUUUCAAAGAUGAACUCUAAAAACAACAUCGCAUACUAAUUUCUGCAAUAGUGACUGUUAAGAAGCAAUCAGGAGGUUGACAGUUCAAGCCUGUCCGGGGGAG